rnacentral:misc_RNA from 1 species
CCCCGACGUACGCGGCAGCGGCGUCCUGGCCACGCUGAGCCUGCGGGACUGCAAGCUGCAGGAGGCCAAGUUUGAGCUGAUCACCUCCGAGGCCUCCUACAUCCACAGCCUGUCGGUGGCUGUGGGCCACUUCUUAGGCUCUGCCGAGCUGAGCGAGUGUCUGGGGGCGCAGGACAAGCAGUGGCUGUUUUCCAAACUGCCCGAGGUCAAGAGCACCAGCGAGAGGUUCCUGCAGGACCUGGAGCAGCGGCUGGAGGCAGAUGUGCUGCGCUUCAGCGUGUGCGACGUGGUGCUGGACCACUGCCCGGCCUUCCGCAGAGUCUACCUGCCCUAUGUCACCAACCAGGCCUACCAGGAGCGCACCUACCAGCGCCUGCUCCUGGAGAACCCCAGGUUCCCUGGCAUCCUGGCUCGCCUGGAGGAGUCUCCUGUGUGCCAGCGUCUGCCCCUUACCUCCUUCCUUAUCCUGCCCUUCCAGAGGAUCACCCGCCUCAAGAUGUUGGUGGAGAACAUCCUGAAGCGGACAGCACAGGGCUCUGAAGACGAAGACAUGGCCACCAAGGCCUUCAAUGCGCUCAAGGAGCUGGUGCAGGAGUGCAAUGCUAGUGUACAGUCCAUGAAGAGGACAGAGGAACUCAUCCACCUGAGCAAGAAGAUCCACUUUGAGGGCAAGAUUUUCCCGCUGAUCUCUCAGGCCCGCUGGCUGGUUCGGCAUGGAGAGUUGGUAGAGCUGGCACCACUGCCUGCAGCACCCCCUGCCAAGCUGAAGCUGUCCAGCAAGGCAGUCUACCUCCACCUCUUCAAUGACUGCUUGCUGCUCUCUCGGCGGAAGGAAUGGCUGAGCUGCAGGUGCGGGACCUGAGCCUGAAGCUGCAGGGCAUCCCCGGCCACGUGUUCCUCCUCCAGCUCCUCCACGGGCAGCACAUGAAGCACCAGUUCCUGCUGCGGGCCCGGACGGAAAGUGAGAAGCAGCGAUGGAUCUCAGCCUUGUGCCCCUCCAGCCCCCAGGAGGACAAGGAGGUCAUCAGUGAGGGGGAAGAUUGCCCCCAGGUUCAGUGUGUUAGGACAUACAAGGCACUGCACCCAGAUGAGCUGACCUUGGAGAAGACUGACAUCCUGUCAGUGAGGACCUGGACCAGUGACGGCUGGCUGGAAGGGGUCCGCCUGGCAGAUGGUGAGAAGGGGUGGGUGCCCCAGGCCUAUGUGGAAGAGAUCAGCAGCCUCAGCGCCCGCCUCCGAAACCUCCGGGAGAAUAAGCGAGUCACAAGUGCCACCAGCAAACUGGGGGAGGCUCCUGUGUGAUGGGCAGCCAUGGCCUAGGACCCCACCUCCAUGCCUGGCUCCUGGAUGGUCCUGGAGGGGCCUGCAGUGUCUCCAUUCCCCAAGCUGCUCCUGCUGGCACUUCGCUUCUGUGGCCUUGGCAUUGAGGGCACAGGCUGGACACAGGAAUGGGGGCGCCUCCAGAGGGUCUCUCCGUCCUCAUGCUCCUCAGUGUCCACACUUCAAGGCCAAGGAUAGUUUCUUCCUCUGACAUGGGGACCAUAACAGGUGAUCACUGAUACCUGGCAAAGACUGGGGCCCUCUCCUUUCUAUGUCCUCAAUCCUGCCUGACUCUUGGUCCUUCUGGCAGGGACCUGGCUGGGGAACGUUCUGGUGCUGAUGGUGCUGGGACCUAUAUGUAUAUUUAUAUAUAUCUGGGGUCUUGUCUACCACCUCCCCUGGUCAGAGCCUGAGUGGGUGCUGGUUGCUGUGUCUUGUCUGUAAAUAAACUCCUAUCAUGCCUUUGCUUGGAGUCUGUGAUCCAUCUGAUGCUGCCCCCACCCCCACAGUCCUAUUUUCCCAGCUAAAGACCAGGAGAGUCUCCGGCUGGCUCCCAACUGGGGCUUUGCAUUUCUCUAGAGUUCAUCUCUGAGCUGUAAGGGUGACCAGGGGGCAGGGGGACGAUUGUGUAUCAGCUAGGCUGCUUUUGGCUGCAAGUAACAAAAUAUCAGAUACAAAUAGGCUUAAACAUUAAAGAGAUUUGAUUAGUUCUUUA